CUUAACACAUGCAAGUCGAACGGAAAGGCCCUGCUUUUGUGGGGUGCUCGAGUGGCGAACGGGUGAGUAACACGUGAGUAACCUGCCCUUGACUUUGGGAUAACUUCAGGAAACUGGGGCUAAUACCGGAUAGGAGCUCCUGCUGCAUGGUGGGGGUUGGAAAGUUUCGGCGGUUGGGGAUGGACUCGCGGCUUAUCAGCUUGUUGGUGGGGUAGUGGCUUACCAAGGCUUUGACGGGUAGCCGGCCUGAGAGGGUGACCGGCCACAUUGGGACUGAGAUACGGCCCAGACUCCUACGGGAGGCAGCAGUGGGGAAUAUUGCACAAUGGGCGGAAGCCUGAUGCAGCAACGCCGCGUGCGGGAUGACGGCCUUCGGGUUGUAAACCGCUUUCGCCUGUGACGAAGCGUGAGUGACGGUAAUGGGUAAAGAAGCACCGGCUAACUACGUGCCAGCAGCCGCGGUGAUACGUAGGGUGCGAGCGUUGUCCGGAUUUAUUGGGCGUAAAGGGCUCGUAGGUGGUUGAUCGCGUCGGAAGUGUAAUCUUGGGGCUUAACCCUGAGCGUGCUUUCGAUACGGGUUGACUUGAGGAAGGUAGGGGAGAAUGGAAUUCCUGGUGGAGCGGUGGAAUGCGCAGAUAUCAGGAGGAACACCAGUGGCGAAGGCGGUUCUCUGGGCCUUUCCUGACGCUGAGGAGCGAAAGCGUGGGGAGCGAACAGGCUUAGAUACCCUGGUAGUCCACGCUGUAAACGGUGGGUACUAGGUGUGGGGUCCAUUCCACGGGUUCCGUGCCGUAGCUAACGCUUUAAGUACCCCGCCUGGGGAGUACGGCCGCAAGGCUAAAACUCAAAGGAAUUGACGGGGCCCCGCACAAGCGGCGGAGCAUGCGGAUUAAUUCGAUGCAACGCGUAGAACCUUACCUGGGUUUGACAUGGAUCGGGAGUGCUCAGAGAUGGGUGUGCCUCUUUUGGGGUCGGUUCACAGGUGGUGCAUGGCUGUCGUCAGCUCGUGUCGUGAGAUGUUGGGUUAAGUCCCGCAACGAGCGCAACCCUUGUUCACUGUUGCCAGCACGUUAUGGUGGGGACUCAGUGGAGACCGCCGGGGUCAACUCGGAGGAAGGUGGGGAUGACGUCAAGUCAUCAUGCCCCUUAUGUCCAGGGCUUCACGCAUGCUACAAUGGCUGGUACAGAGAGUGGCGAGCCUGUGAGGGUGAGCGAAUCUCGGAAAGCCGGUCUCAGUUCGGAUUGGGGUCUGCAACUCGACCUCAUGAAGUCGGAGUCGCUAGUAAUCGCAGAUCAGCAACGCUGCGGUGAAUACGUUCCCGGGGCUUGUACACACCGCCCGUCAAGUCAUGAAAGUUGGUAACACCCGAAGCCGGUGGCCUAACCGUUGUGGGGGAGCCGUCGAAGGUGGGACUGGUGAUUAGGACUAAAU
rnacentral:rRNA from 1 species